AUUGAACGCUGGCGGCAUGCCUUACACAUGCAAGUCGAACGGCAGCACGGGAGCAAUCCUGGUGGCGAGUGGCGAACGGGUGAGUAAUGUAUCGGAACGUACCUUUCAGUGGGGGAUAACGUAGCGAAAGUUACGCUAAUACCGCAUAUUCUGUGAGCAGGAAAGCAGGGGAUCGCAAGACCUUGCGCUGAUUGAGCGGCCGAUAUCAGAUUAGCUAGUUGGUGAGGUAAAGGCUCACCAAGGCGACGAUCUGUAGCGGGUCUGAGAGGAUGAUCCGCCACACUGGAACUGAGACACGGUCCAGACUCCUACGGGAGGCAGCAGUGGGGGAAUUUUUGGACAAUGGGCGCAAGCCUGAUCCAGCCAUGCCGCGUGAGUGAAGAAGGCCUCGGUUGGUUAAGUACGU
rnacentral:rRNA from 1 species